UACGGAGGGAGCAAGCGUUACUCGGAAUUAUUGGGCGUAAAGGGCGCGUAGGCGAUUUGAAAAGUCUUGUGUGAAAGCCCCGAGCUUAACUCGGGAAGUGCACAAGAAACUGUUGAAUUUGAGUUCCGGAGAGGAAGGCAGAAUUCCCGGUGUAGAGGUGAAAUUCGUAGAUAUUCGCAAGAACACCAGUGGCGAAGGCGGCUCACUGGCCCGGUACUGACGCUGAGGUGCGAAAGCGUGGGGAGCAAACAGG
rnacentral:rRNA from 1 species